CGGCCCCGCAGCGGUCCCGCGGGGAGCACCGGGCCCACAGCGGGAUGGCGGGGAUAGGGGAUGCCGGAGCCACCACAAUAGGAGGACCAGCACCUCCAAAAUCUGCCUGGGCCACUGGCAGCACCAGCCGCUGGGAACUCGAGUCCAUUAUGAAACCAGGGCGAAGUGAACAGCUGGCUCGAAUGAACGCCUGGGAGCCCAUACCCUUGCUCUCCCUCAAAUAACAAUGUUUAUUGCAUUCUUAUUACACUGAAAUUAAAUCAAUAAGCAUUUGGGAAAGCAACAUCUACAGGAUGGUGUGUGGGAGGACAUUACAAUAUUAUCCUUUCGAGCAAUCUCUUACUUCUCUCUCCCCAUUUGAUAAUAAAAACAGUGAAUGGACAAAUGUCCCUUUCACACUUUGCUCCUCUGCUUUUUGUUCUCUGUCACUCUCCCUAAAACAACACAAACUAACUGAGGCGUAACAACACAAACUAAUAGUUUGUCAGAUUCCAGAGUCUGGGAUGCAUUUUUGCCGCUCUGUAUCUAUUUGGAUGGAAGUGCAGAACUGCUGCAGCAGCCACAAAGCACAAGAGGUCCCAUACAUCCCUCUGGCUCCUCUCAUGCUGGAGGAGAAUCAUGACUAUAGAUAGGAGUCCAUACUGACAUUUCUGCCAUCUCUCCUGUGUCAUCUCUCAGCAUACUGUUCCACCCCCACCCCCCCCAAACUUCUCUGCUACUUAAAGCAAUUACAACUCGAGUGACUCAUUACACUGCAAGUCUUGGAGGCACUCCCCCAUAGAAGAAAAGCUCUCCCUGUUUUCUAUGAGAUCCACUUUCUGCUGGUAUUUGAGUGAGACAGUGGCAACCCAGACAGAACUGCCAUCCAACACUUCUUCUCAAGUAGUUUUUUACCCCUUAGUGACUUGGUAGGAGCAACAAAUACACAAACUCAAAUGAAAUGGAACUGGAAUGCUCCAGUGACACGCAGUGCAAGGCAGUGACUUGCAGGUGGUAAAGUGCCUCUCCCUGAAAGAUGAAGACUCUGAAGUUACCUACAUGUGCAUCAUCUUUCAGAUUUCCUUGAGCUGACAGCUUCCCCACCUACCUGUGUGAAGUUUUACAAGGCAACAAUGAAGGUAAAGAAAAGUACUGAUAGAGAAAGUGAGAUAACAAAAACACAAAAUAGAAAAAAUAUGCUAAAAAGAAGCUCAGCAGCAAAGUUAGAAAUUAGUUAGAAACUUUCCCCUGAAAACAGAAACAGGAAUCUAGUCAAGAAACAAUGGUCUUGUUAUAUUUUAGAAACUAGAAGUGGAAUAAUUAGAGGCACAUCUUAGUAAUACAUAAGAAGUCUUUUCUAGCAUCCUAAUUAUGGAUUUAGUCCUGUAAAUUUUUACUUGCAUAAGAAGUUUGUACUUGCAAUGAAUACUAAAUGCUUUGAAGACGUUUAUGCUGUUCUUUAAAAAUUUGUUUAUUAGGAGACUGAAACAAAGCAGUACAUUGUAGCAUCUAGUUAUGAAAAAGAGAAUACCCAUUGCAUCCUAGCAUCGUGGUACUCUCCUUCUUCUAAUAAAGUGAACACCACAAAUGCUGAAAACAUUUGGAUUAAACGAAAAAGUUUGUAAUUUAGGUACAUGUUUUUUAAACUGAGGAUUAAUCUGGCAAAUACCAACAAGCAAGCUGCUCCUGUUCAACAUAAGCACGCUAUAUUUUGCUUCUGAGAUUAAGAAUUAUAUUUGAUCUUUAUUGUUUUAUUGUUGUUUAUAAAAGGGUCUAGAUAUAUGUAAACGUUUACAUGCAUAAGUAUUUUACAAUCCAUAGAAUCACUUUAAAAACAGUGCACUUGCAGAAAAAUAGUAAUAUGAAAAUAUAUCAUACUACAAUGAUAUUCAUAUAAUAUUUAUGUUAUAUGUGAAAUACAAAUUAUGAUAUAUUCUUGUUCAGAAAAUCUUUCAAGCUCUGACAGAAUUAUUUGACGAUUUAGACAUGGAAAAACUAUUUUAUUAUCCUCCACUAGAGGGAGAGAGAGCCACUCUUGUUGCUGGGCAGAUUCUGCAAACAGUUUCAUUCUGCACCAUUUAAAGCAAUGAUGUCAAGUUUGAGGGGGGAAAAAAAACCCCGAGCAAUUUAGUCCAUUAUAAUAUCAAAUAUGAAGUAACUUCUAAAAUACUAAAGUCCUGAAAUCUAAAAUUUCAUUGCUGCUAGGUUAUUUUCUGGAAUCAAUACCACACCAUGUUGAUUUCUUAAGACAUGGCUAUUAACAUAUUUAUUAAAACAUCUGAAAUAAAUAGCAAAACUAACAGAAUUGUAAUAUUGAAAAAGUUACUAAUCUGGUAACAAAACAAAAUUACCUAUAUUGUACUUUUCAUUCUGUAUUGGAUAUGUAACAUUCCUACUGCAUCGUUUUCACUGCUUGCUUAGAAAUCAGAGCACUAUUUCUUCCACCCAACAGGUCACUAUCUAUCUCAGAAGCUCAGAUAAGUCUCAUCUCCCUAAAGACAAUUUGACAGUAACUGUUCAGAGUGUCAAUGUUUCCAUUUCACCUAAAUACCCUGAUGAUUCAGUCUAUGAUAUCCACAAAAGUGUCUGUCACUUUCAGUCCUCUGGGCUCAUGGUCCUGCUGGUUUGCUGUUUGUGGCAGGGUAAGGAAACAAGCGCUGGUGUCUGUGUGCCCACAGAACGUGUGGGAACUGCCCCAGCCCACAGAAACAUGAGACACUUGGUUUAGCUCAGAGUACUAAGCAGGACUAAGCUUCUGGUGGCAUUUGUAAUGUCAUUUGGAAAGUGGGCACAGGAUGCCCAGUACCUGAAGGACAGCCAUGGAUGGCACAUAAUCGAAAGCUGAAAUGUUACUUUAAUUUAAAACCCACUGCAGAAUGAGUAAAGAAGAAAGGCUGGCAGGGGUUAAUAUGUCAAUUGUCAAAGCAAUAAUCUAGCACUGGAAGUUUAAGUGACCUUGAAAAGUUGUAAAUAUUUCUUUAUAUACAUGAAUAAACUAAGCACAAGGCAACAA